UGGUGGAGUGAUUUGUCUGGUUAAUUCCGUUAACGAACGAGACCCCUGCCUGCUAAAUAGCUGGGUGAGUAUUUUUACUGAUCGUAAGCUUCUUAGAGGGACGUGCAUUCUAUUAGAUGCAGGAAGAUAGGGGCAAUAACA
rnacentral:rRNA from 1 species